CUGAGAAGCACGAAGAGGGAGCAGAGAACACAAUUCCUGAUGAGGAGGCUGUGGUCAAAGAAGGAAUGUCAGAGAACGAAAUUGUGGUGUUAAUUUUGGGAGUAACUGCGGUGGGAUUGCUAGUUUUUGCGUUUUACAUUUACUCUAAUAGGCGAUACUACGGCAUUGGACU
rnacentral:ribozyme from 1 species